rnacentral:rRNA from 1 species
CUUCCGUAGGGUGAACCUGCGGAAGGAUCAUUAAUUAUGUUAAAGCGCCUUACCUUAGGGUUUCCUCUGGGGUAAGUGAUUGCUUCUACACUGUGAAAAUUUGGCUGAGAGACUCAGACUGGUCAUGGGUAGACCUAUCUGGGGUUUGAUCGAUGCCACUCCUGGUUUCAGGAGUACCCUUCAUAAUAAACCUAGAAAUUCAGUAUUAUAAAGUUUAAUAAAAAACAACUUUUAACAAUGGAUCUCUUGGUUCUCGCAUCGAUGAAGAACGUAGCAAAGUGCGAUAACUAGUGUGAAUUGCAUAUUCAGUGAAUCAUCGAGUCUUUGAACGCAGCUUGCACUCUAUGGUUUUUCUAUAGAGUACGCCUGCUUCAGUAUCAUCACAAACCCACACAUAACAUUUGUUUAUGUGGUGAUGGGUCGCAUCGCUGUUUUAUUACAGUGAGCACCUAAAAUGUGUGUGAUUUUCUGUCUGGCUUGCUAGGCAGGAAUAUUACGCUGGUCUCAGGAUCUUUUUUUUUGGUUCGCCCAGGAAGUAAAGUACAAGAGUAUAAUCCAGUAACUUUCAAACUAUGAUCUGAAGUCAGGUGGGAUUACCCGCUGAACUUAAGCAUAUCAAUAAGCGGAGGAA